GAUGAACGCUGGCGGCGUGCCUAACACAUGCAAGUCGAGCGAACAGACGAGGAGCUUGUUCCUUUGACGUUUGCGGCGGACGGGUGUGUAACACGUGGAUCAUCUACCUAUAUUUCUGGGAUAACUUCGGGAAACCGGAGCUAAUACCAGAUAAUAUAUUGAACCGCUGGGGGCAGUAGUGAAAGACGGUUUUGGUGUCAGUUAUAGCUGGAUCCGCGCCGCAUUAGCGAGUUGGUAAGGUCACGGCUUACCAAGGCAACGAUGCGUAGCCGACCUGAGAGGGUGAUCGGCCACACUGGAACAGAGACACGGUCCAGACUCCUACGGGAGGCAGCAGUGGGGAAUCUUCGGCAAUGGGCGAAAGCUUGACGGAGCAAUGCCGCGUGGGUGAUGAAGGUCUUCGGAUCGUAAAGCUCUGUUAUUAGGGAAGAACAGAUGUGGAAGUAACUAUGGACGUCUUGACGGUACCGAAUCAAAAAGCCCCGGCUAACUACGUG
rnacentral:rRNA from 1 species